UAGUCAACUGUUACCGCUUCGGGAAUAUAAGAUUUAAGGCACAGAGAAGACCUGACAUGGCUGAUCCCAUGUACUGUCCAAAAGCAGAACUGCUUCCCUGAACUAGUCUCCAAGCCAACAACCAGAGCUGAGUUUUAACAAUUAAAAUACAACCAAAUUCUACGGUAAAUCGGCUUCAGUCGAUGCAGCUACACGAGAGAGGCAGCCCCAAAGAGGCAUAACUCGAGCCUGCACGAAACACGCGGUCAACACAUCGUGAUGUCCCACAGACGUUCAGGAAAGUGGAGAACACACACCCAAACAAAAACCCGCGGCAACAAACCUCCCUUUUAAUUAAACCUGCGUGACUCCUUAAAUCAUUUAAAUACAAAACACUUUGUGCUUUGAGGGAGCACUGUGUCCCAGAAGAACUGGAAGUUGAAUGGUUUCUAUUGAAACCACUGCAGAGCUUGAAUAAA